UACGUAGGGCGCAAGCGUUGUCCGGAAUUACUGGGCGUAAAGCGUGCGCAGGCGGUUUUGUAAGUCUGUCGUGAAAGCCCCGGGCUCAACCUGGGAAUUGCGAUGGAGACUGCAAGGCUUGAAUCUGGCAGAGGGGGGUAGAAUUCCACGUGUAGCAGUGAAAUGCGUAGAGAUGUGGAGGAACACCGAUGGCGAAGGCAGCCCCCUGGGUCAAGAUUGACGCUCAUGCACGAAAGCGUGGGGAGCAAACAGG
rnacentral:rRNA from 1 species